AACGAACGCUGGCGGCAUGCCUAACACAUGCAAGUCGAACGAGACCAUCGGGUCUAGUGGCGCACGGGUGCGUAACGCGUGGGAACCUGCCCUCAGGUUCGGAAUAACUCCCCGAAAGGGGUGCUAAUACCGGCUAAUGUCUUCGGACCAAAGAUUUAUCGCCUUUGGAUGGGCCCGCGUUGGAUUAGCUAGUUGGUAGGGUAAAAGCCUACCAAGGCGACGAUCCAUAGCUGGUCUGAGAGGAUGAUCAGCCACACUGGGACUGAGACACGGCCCAGACUCCUACGGGAUGCAGCAGUGGGUAAUAUUGGACAAUGGGCGAAAGCCUGAGCCAGCAAUGCCGCGUGAGUGAUGAAGGCCUUAGGGUUGUAAAGCUCUUUUAACCGGGAUGAUAAUGACAGUACCGGGAGAAUAAGCUCCGGCUAACUCCGUG
rnacentral:rRNA from 1 species